UACAGAGGGGGCAAGCGUUGUUCGGAAUUACUGGGCGUAAAGGGCGCGUAGGCGGCCUGUUAAGUCGAACGUGAAAUCCCCGGGCUCAACCCGGGAACUCGCGUCCGAUACUGGCAGGCUUGAAUUCGGGAGAGGGAUGUGGAAUUCCGCGUGUAGCAGUGAAAUGCGUAGAUAUGCGGAGGAACACCGAUGGCGAAGGCAAUCCCCUGGGCUUGCACUGGACGCUCCAUGCACGAAAGCGUGGGGAGCAAACAGGA
rnacentral:rRNA from 1 species